rnacentral:misc_RNA from 1 species
GCAAACUUGGUCAUUUAGAGGAAGUAAAAGUCGUAACAAGGUUUCCGUAGGUGAACCUGCGGAAGGAUCAUUAGAGGAUUGUCCCUCUCAUUUCUUCCGAGAAUGAGAACCUCUUCAAACCAUGUUUACUAAACCAUGUUGUUCUUUCCCGAGAAUCGUCAAAUAUCGGGGUAAAAAUCAAACCAAAUUCUGAUUAAAAUGUUUGUCUAAUGUCUUAAUUAAAUUAAAUAAAACUUUCAACAACGGAUCUCUUGGUUCUGGCAUCGAUGAAGAACGCAGC